GACGAACGCUGGCGGCGUGCUUAACACAUGCAAGUCGAACGGAAAGGCCCUGCUUUUGUGGGGUGCUCGAGUGGCGAACGGGUGAGUAACACGUGAGUAACCUGCCCUUGACUUUGGGAUAACUUCAGGAAACUGGGGCUAAUACCGGAUAGGAGCUCCUGCUGCAUGGUGGGGGUUGGAAAGUUUCGGCGGUUGGGGAUGGACUCGCGGCUUAUCAGCUUGUUGGUGGGGUAGUGGCUUACCAAGGCUUUGACGGGUAGCCGGCCUGAGAGGGUGACCGGCAACAUUGGGACUGAGAUACGGCCAAGACUCCUACGGGAGGAAGCAGUGGGGAAAAUGGCACAAUGGGCGGAAGCCGGAUGCAGCAACGCCGCGUGCGGGAUGACGGCCUUCGGGUUGUAAACCGCUUUCGCCUGUGACGAAGCGUGAGUGACGGUAAUGGGUAAAGAAGCACCGGCUAACUACGUG
rnacentral:rRNA from 1 species